rnacentral:rRNA from 1 species
GUGGAUUAGAUACCCUGGUAGUCCACGCUGUAAACGAUGGAUACUAGGUGUGCGGGGACUGACCCCCUGCGUGCCGCAGUUAACACAGUAAGUAUCCCACCUGGGGAGUACGAUCGCAAGGUUGAAACUCAAAUGAAUUGACGGGGGCCCGCACAAGCGGUGGAUUAUGUGGUUUAAUUCGAAGCAACGCGAAGAACCUUACCAGGGCUUGACAUCCUACUAACGAAGUAGAGAUACAUUAGGUACCCUUUUGGGGAAGUAGAGACAGGUGGUGCACGGCUGUCGCCAACU